GGGUUUUACCUGAACUUGAAUAAAAUCCAAUAAAAAAUAUUCAACACCAAAUAAUUAUCUAAAAUAUUUUAGAAUUUCAAAAAUAUAUAAAAUAGUGAUUUAUUAUAUGAAUAAAUAGUUUAAAUACUUAUUUGAAUAUUUGAUGUAGAUUUUUGGUAUUUGAUCAAAUAUUUAGAUUUUUAUGUUUUGACUAAAAUUAAUUAGUGAGCGGAUACUUGUAAUUUGUUUUAAACAACUUAUCCAGCUCGGUAGCUCGCGGUGCCCGAUUCCCUUCCCCGAUCGCUUCCGGUUCUUUGGUCUGACUCUGUUUCGUUGCUUGCUGGGUAUUGUGCCGGUUAGGCCAUUGUUAGGAGUUGAGGUCUUUAUCGUUGUAGGUUGUGUUUAGUUUAUUUACUGCAUCCCGCUACUAGUGUCUAUGUAAUUUCUGUAAAAAAUUGAAAACUUGGUAUAAUAUUUUAACAUUUUACCAAAAAAAAAAAAAAAACUUAUCCAGCCAAACCCAAAUCAUUCCCUACAAUUUAUUUCCCUAAACCAUGAAAUCCCUAAAUCACAGCAAAAUAUCUAAACCAGCUGAUCAGACUAAAUUGCAAUUUAAAAAAAAAGUCUUUACCAAGACCUUCUGGCUCCAGUGGAGGCUCUCAAACAAUAAACUUCAAAUCUAACACAAAUAAAAGGAUAAACUUCUGUAACUCAGUAUAUCCGCAUAUCAGUCGUCUUCCUCAACAUCCAAACUUGCUCAGAAAACACCAUCUCUGAAAAUUGCGUCCACGACACCUAACAACUCUCCCCAAAAAUUCGACAUCCCAAUGAGUUUAUUCUGCAAUUCAAUUGACACCCUUUAUCCAAAACCUUACCUUCCUCACAAAUCUCACUUCUUUCCCCUCUCCGAUACAAAACUCCGAAACCUUAGCUUCGCCGGGUUCCCUCAUCUCCGGAUCAAAUCAUGCCUCAAAUCAGCUUCUUCCUCCGAAAUCGACAUGGUGAGGAACAAAGAAGGAGUCUUCGCUCCCAAGGAGAAGAAAGUAGUCGUCUUGUGGGACCUCGACAACAAACCUCCCCGCGGGCCUCCUUUCGAGGCCGCGACGGAGCUCCGGCGAGUCGCGGAGCACCUCGGCCGAGUCGUCGAGAUCUCGGCCUACGCGAACCGCCACGCUUUCAUCCACUUACCUCACUGGGUCGUCGAGGAGCGGCGAUCGAGGAGGAGCCUCGACUUCGCGGAGAGGAAAGGCGAAGUGGUCCCGGAGGAGCCGUACGUCUGCGGCGUGUGCGGACGGAAGUGCAGGACGAAUCUUGAUCUGAAGAAGCAUUUCAAGCAGCUUCACGAGAGGGAGAGGCAGAAGAAGGUGAACCGCAUGAGGUCGUUGAAAGGGAAGAAGCGUCAGAAGUUUAAGGAGCGUUACGUCUCCGGGAACGAGAAGUACAACGAGGCGGCGAGGAGGCUGCUCACGCCGAAAGUCGGGUACGGGCUCGAGGCCGAGCUGAGGAGAGCGGGGGUUUACGUGAAGACGGUGGAGGAUAAGCCGCAGGCGGCGGAUUGGGCGGUGAAGAGGCAGAUACAGCAUUCGAUGACGCGUGGGAUUGACUGGUUGGUUUUGGUGUCGGAUGAUAAGGACUUUUCGGAUAUGUUGAGGAAGGCGAGGGAGGCUGAUCUCGGGACGGUUGUGGUGAGUGAUAGGGAUGGUGUGUUGGGGCGGCAGGCUGAUUUGUGGGUGCCUUGGAUGGGGGUGGAGAAUGGGGAGAUUGGGGAGAAGGAUUUGGUGCCGGAGAAGAGACGGCGGUUUGAUGAGGAGGGGGAGGAGGAGGAGGAGGGGGAUGGGUUGUUUUCGUUGGCGUAUGAUGAGGAUGAGAGGGAGGAGAUGAGGGUGGAGAGUGAUGGGUUUGGGAGGUUUAGUGUGUCUGCGUUUUCGGAAGAUGAGGGGGAUUUUGCGUUGAGUGAUAGUGAUGAUGAUAGUGACGAUGAGCUUAGCUUCUGAGUUGUAGUUGUGGAUGUUUCGAUCGGUUUAGGACAUGAACCGGGAAUUUGAGUUGAAAAGAAGCUCUGGUUGAUGUGUCAUUUUUUUUUGGAGCAGUAUACUCUGAGAUCAAGAGUAGAACCAAUCUUUUGCGUAAGCAGAAAAGCAAUGAGAAUUCAAGUUAACAUUGUCGAAUGAUCUGAAUGAGACUAAUGGUAUAUAUAUCAAAUUGGUUACGCUGGUUGUUGUAAAGUAUUGAAUCUAGGAUUUGCUUUUGGAUAGUGCUGGUGUAAAGCUAAGUGACACUCUUAUCACAACUCAAGCGGUGAACAAUCAGAGAUUAUAACUCAUGUCCACAAUGAUUUGGUAAAAAAAAUCAUAAUACUGCAAAGGCUUGUCUCGUUUGUUUCUGGCGGCUUUGCUACUGGUUAUUUGCAACUCAGGACACCAUUCUUAUAAUCUCAUCACUGGACAAGUUUGGGGUUUCUUUUGAGUAUUGCCAGAUACAACAUUCCAUCUGAGUGGAUGCAAAGCUUUCACACAAGUCUCCAAAAAAUGUCUAACCUUAGUUCAUAAACAAUUUGUUAGUUGAGUUCCCAUACCCAAACUUCAUCGGUUUACUCGGUUUGAUUGUUUAUGUUAAUUCUUCCUUUGAUUCCAUAAAUUAAACAAUUCAUCCAAAGAAAUAACAAAAAAUAAAUUUAUUCGAAAUAAAACAACACAGUGUUGUUUUAUUUCGAAAUAAAACAACACAGUGUUGUCAACACUCAUGCAAUGCAAGUGCAAUAAUGUCUGGGUUCAAUUUAAAAUUGGAUUGCAUUAUACCGAUUUUAACCGAAAACCGGACAAACAUUAAAGUAAAUCUGUAAAAUGGAAACUUAACAAGGGAUAAAAUAGUAAAUAAACAAAUCGACGUCAAGCUGACGCGACUGCUGUCUCAUUCUCUCUCUCUCUCUCUCUGCUACUACUUCUGUCCGCUCCAAAGAAAGAUCCAAAGCUUACAAACACAAAUCCACUUUCAGUUUCUCUUCAAUUUUUGUCUCAAUAAAAAAAAACCCUAGUUUCGAUUCAAUUCGUGAUCGGACCUUUAUCGCAAUCGAGAGAGUGAGACUCUAGACCCAUGGAUUUCGAUUCGAACGGAGGAAACAAACGAGUCUUCAACCGACUCGGCGGGCCAACUCGCCCCUCGCCGCAGCAAACCAACACGCGUCAGCAAGUCUGCUUCCACUGGCGAGCGGGACGGUGCUACCGAAACCCUUGCCAGUUCCUCCACCGAGAGCUACCUGCUGGCCCCGUUCCGAAUCACGCGAACAAAAGGGCCCCCGACGAGUCCGGGUUCGCGGGUCCGAGUCACCGGAGAGGACCCGGGUUCAACGGGAGCCACUCUAGUAAUAACAAUAACAACACCUGGGGGAGGUUCGGUGGGAACAGCAGGGCGGUUGUGACGAAGACGGAGAAGGUCUGCAGGUUUUGGGUGGAUGGGAGCUGUAGCCACGGUGAGAAGUGUAGGUUCUUGCAUUGCUGGAGCAAAGGAGAUGGGUUCUCGUUGCUGACUCAGCUUGAUGGGCAUGAGAAGCUUGUGAGUGGGAUCGCUUUGCCGUCUGGAUCUGAUAAGCUUUACACUGGGAGUAAAGAUGGGACUAUUCGUGUUUGGGAUUGUGCUUCUGGACAGGUCUUUGAUUCGGUUUCUUGUUUUGUUUGAGGAUUGGUUAUCAUUGUUUGUUUUGGUUUCGAUGUAGUAGAGUGACUCAAGAGGAUGCAAUUAGUACAAGUGGAGUAAUGAAGUUAGUUGUUAAGUUAGGAAAGGAAGUGUGUAACUUUUGUUAGUUCUAUUGAUCUUUGAUAGAUUUAUUUUCUCUUUGGAUCAGUGUACAAGUGUACUGAAUCUUGGUGCGGAAGUUGGUUGUGUGAUUACUGAAGGCCCAUGGCUAUUGGUUGGCAUGCCAAAUCUAGUGAAGGUAAGUUCUGACUGUGAUCGCUCUUAGCCUUUUAUUUUCCUAGACUGUCACAAUAUCAAGGAACCUUAUUGUUCUAUGCUUAUUGAGUUAUAGUAUUGUUGUUGCUACAGGCUUGGAAUAUGGAAACCAACGCAGACCAGAGUCUCAGUGGACCUGUUGGCCAAGUGUAUUCUCUUGUUGUGGGCACUGAUCUACUCUUUGCAGGCACACAGGUAAACUUCCAAGCUUUUUUCUUGCUAAAAUCUCUUCUAUGAAGCAUGGGUGUUAAUGGCUAUAAAUAUAUCAGCUUUUGGUGAAAUAAGUUCUUUGCUUUCUCUGCAGGACGGUUCUAUAUUGGCAUGGAGAUAUAAUGCUGCCACCAACUGCUUUGAACCGGCGGCGUCACUAAUGGGCCACACACUUGCAGUUGUUACCUUGUAUGUUGGAGCGAACAGGCUCUAUUCAGGGUCCAUGGACAAAUCCAUAAAAGUAAGUACUAGUGAUUCAUCUUUUAUGCUUGAGUUGAGAACUCCCUUUCUUAUUGUUUUGGUUUGUGUUUGGUAGGUUUGGAGCCUUGAGAAUCUUCAGUGUAUACAAACUCUAACAGAUCAUACAUCAGUUGUGAUGUCUCUCAUUUGCUGGGAUCAGUUUCUUUUGUCUUGCUCAUUGGACAACACUGUCAAGGUUAGAUUCAUUGUUAUACUAUCUAUCAGAUAAUCUCGUGAUUGUUUUUAUUUUCCCCUAUUGACUUUGUUUGCUUUCUAGAUAUGGGCUGCAGUUGAAGGAGGCAACUUGGAAGUUACAUACACUCACAAAGAAGAAAAUGUAUAAACGUGUUAUCCUCUUACUUUUGGUCCUAAUCUUUUAUGUAAUCUAACUAACAAUUUCUGUUAAUAUCUGAAUAUUCAGGGAGUGUUAGCUUUAUGCGGUGUACAUGAUGCAGAAGCCAAACCGGUUUUGCUGUGCUCUUGCAACGACAACACCUUGCGUCUCUACGACUUACCAUCGUAAGUCUUGCAACACUUAUUUGUUUUCCGAUCUCUUCUGUUUUCUGAAGCUUAGGUUCAUUUGUUAGAUUUACGGAGAGGGGCAAAAUCUUUGCGAAGCAAGAGAUAAGGUCAAUCCAGAUAGGUCCAGGUGGCAUAUUUUUCACGGGUGAUGGAACCGGUCAAGUUAAAGUAUGGAAGUGGUCCACUGCACCAGCCGCCGCAGCUAUGUCUUGAGGAAGUUAGCAACCUUGUCAAGACUUCUUUUCCUACGAUGUUCUUGUACCAUUAUAUAUUGGGGGUCUUUUGAGUUGUUUUCUCUCUUUCUUAUUGAUGGCGUCCUCCUAGUAAAAGGCCAUGGUCUGAUGAGAUUGUGCCAUUUUAGGAGUUUUAAGACAGAAGUGGGAGAGUUUUGGUCUUGUAACACAUGGAUUUGUAUGGUCACAUUGUCAUAAUAAAGGAUUGAUCUAUUCAAGAAAGUGUAGAAACCUUUAGGCUUGUUGUCACUUUAACUAUCCCAUCUGCUCCGAGCUGUUUAGCUACGGUUAUCAUCAACAUCAACAAUAACUAUCCUAGGCACACCGAAAGCGCGAGCAGCCAACAUAGUGACAAGACCAAUAGGUCCAGCUCCCAUUACUAAUACAUGUGUUUCAGGACCAACCUCAGCUCGGCGACAAGCGUGUACACCAACACUUAGUGGCUCACACAUUGCUCCUUCUUCCAAACUCACAUUCUCAGACAACUUGAAGCAUAGAUCUGCAGGGUGAACCACUUGGUUGGCUAAAGAGCCAUGAACCAGUGGGGUUGCAAGAAACAAAGAUUGUCUUUGUUCAAUAUAAGUACCUUGAGGUAAUGAGCAUCACUUCCACAUGUACCAACAGCUUUCAUCUUAAUUCUCGCAUCAUGAGGACCUAAACAUGAUCAUAACAAAAGGGUCACGAAAAUAAUCAAAACCAUGAAAAAGAAUGAGCUUACCCAACGGAAGGAAGAUGAAAAGGUUGGAUUUGGAGAGUGUUCAGACCAGCCAACCAAGCAUCCAUGUUCUAUUUUUCCACCUUGGAGCCUUCUCCAUGAGACAUUCCUCCUUUCCCCAUUACUCUUCUCUGCUAUGCUCAGCUCAAAGGCUCUGUACUGAUCUCAGCUAUUGGAUUAAGUGAAAGACAAAAACAAACCCACCAGAGCCUUAAAAGAAUGAUUUAAGAAAACAAAAGGGGUCAGCAUCGAAAUCUCCACAAUAUAAUAAAUAAAUACACAUGAACCACGAAAUAUGAAAACGUGCCUUUUUCGAGAUUUGGAUAAACCCAUAUUGUUGAUUAGUCUUUUUCUAGUUACAUCAUAAUCAUGUUUAACAGAUUGUUUCACUCGUAAUCUAAACAUAGACAUAUUGAGAACAAGUUUCCCUAGAUAGCUUUGGGUUUUCGAGACUUGGAUAGCUUCUUUGACUUGAAUAACAUUACAAUAUCAAAUCUACCAGACAAGUUUCUGAGUUGGUUAGUCUUUUUGAUUAGCGAGGAAGAUUUUUUUUUUGGUUAUAUCACAAUUUAUCAUCACUUGUUUCACUUUGAUGGCUUGCAAUAACCAAUUUACAUAUCCAUGUGAGACUAAACACAUGAAGCAAUAACAAACAAGUCUCUCACUCUAUAUGUGCAGUUUUGACUAUUUGUUUAUUGUAGUAAUCAGCUCAAAUUUUAAUUUUCUUUAAAUAAUUAAAAUUUAAACCAUGAAAACAUCAUCAACUUCCAUGUUACAAAGUUUUCCUAGAUCCUACGGUUGACAUCAAAAAAAUUAUAAUAGCAAAGCUUCUUCUCAUAAAGAUCAAAGUACCAAAGAUCCAAUCUUCAUUAAAAAUAAUUACCAAGAUCCUAAACUCUUUGUAUGAAUGUACGACCAAUAAAUAAGUGUUGGUGAACCAUCAAAGCUUCCUCUCAUAAAGAUUUAACGAAAAGAGGCUCAUGCUUCAUGAUCUUAUUAUAUAAACCUCACCAAACCUUGCUCAUUUGUUUGGCUCCGAUCUAAGUAUAAAAGAAUCACACAUACUUUUUUUUUUUUGUAACAGAAGAAUCACACAUACUCUUUCACCAUAAUGAGUUUUCAAACAUUAUGGCUAUUUCGCAUAGUUCUCAUCGUAACAUUCAUCUCCCAUGCCUCGUGUUUUCCAGAUCAAGGUAAAGUAUUUCAUUGUUUCUUUACGUACACAUCGCUCAAUGCGUGACGAUAUAUGUAUUUGUAUUUUAUUAUUAAAACCUUUGUUUUUUUAUCCACGUGAAGCUGGGUACUAUAGUUUUACGAAAGAUGCAAAACUCGCACCAAUGUUCGCUCGCUUCGAUUACAUAAUCAUCGGAGGAGGAACCUCCGGUUGCGCGCUAGCCGCAACGCUCUCUCAAAACGCUAGCGUUUUGGUUCUUGAGCGCGGCGGCUCGCCAUACGAAAACCCGGCGGCGACGGAUAUAGGAAACUUCGCCACAACACUCUCAAACACAUCACCCAAGUCAUGGUCGCAGCUUUUCAUCUCCGAAGACGGCGUUUACAACACACGCGCGCGUGUUCUUGGAGGAGGCUCGGUGCUAAACGCCGGAUUCUACACACGUGCCGGGGAUGACUACGUGAAGGAGGCUGAGUGGGAGAGCGGUGAAGUAGAAGCUGCUUAUGAGUGGGUCGAGGAGAAAGUAGCGUUUCAACCGCCGGUGAUGGGAUGGCAAACAGCGUUGAAAGAUGGGCUUCUGGAGGCUGGAGAGUUUCCGUACAAUGGUUUCACGUACGAUCAUAUCAAUGGGACCAAGAUCGGUGCUACGAUCUUUGAUCAAGCCGGUCAUAGACAUACUGCUGCUAAUUUGUUGGAGCAUGCUAAUCCGGACACGCUUGCUGUCUAUUUGCAUGCUACAGUUCACAAGAUCCUCUUCACAACCAAAGGUAUUUGAAUGAUCUACAUUUUUUUCUCUCGUUCUAUUUUUUUAUUUUUAGGUUUGGGUUGCCAUAGUAUUAAGGAGGUAUAUUUCAACUAAAGUUUGAGAUGAUUUUUUAAAUUAAAAAUGACAAAUCGAGGUUAUUCAAACAUGGUUCUAAUAAUUCUUUUGAAAUCCAGUACUCAUAGUUUUAGAAAAGAUUUUAUCGUGGUUUAACAAAACUCAAAAUAAAUUCUUGGUUCACCCAAAUUCAUCUAAAAACUUGAUAAAAAAUCAAAAUAUUUUAAGUUCUUGAUUGGAUACACCCCAUAUAUCUAUAAAAUAUUUUAUAAGAUUUGUCUGACUAAAAUGAAAAGUGAAGGAGUUUCGGUUUGGUUUCAUUAUACGAAAACCGAUUUGAUUUUAUAUGAACAUUACCGCUUAGUUUUGGUUUUUAUAUACGUUCACCUCUACUUUUGAAUAUGAAAUUAUGUUUUGGACAGGAAGGCCAAGGCCAAAAGCGUACGGAGUGAUAUUUCAAGAUGCAAAUGGAGUGUUACACAAGGCAGAGCUGGCGAAAAUCGCAACGAACGAGGUGAUUUUGUCCGCGGGUGCCAUCGGGAGCCCGCAACUGCUGAUGCUUAGCGGUGUGGGUCCUAUGGCUCAUCUUACGGCUCACAAGAUUAAACCGGUGGUCUUAGAUCAUCCAACGGUCGGGCAAGGGAUGGGAGAUAAUCCGAUGAAUGCCAUCUUUAUUCCUUCUCCUACGCCCGUGGAGGUUUCUCUAAUACAAGUCGUUGGGAUCACAAAACAUAAUAGUUACAUCGAAGGAGCAAGUGGCGUAAUCAUUUCUUAUAGUUGGACUCGUAAUUAUUUCGAUGGUGUUUUGAAUUAUCUCAACGAGGUAUCAUAUAUAAAAACACGUUAAACGUUGUUACUACUUUAUUAUUACUAACGAAAUUAACUAUAUGCUAAUGUCUUUUUAUUUUUUCAUUGUGUAAGAUGCAGACAAGCCGUACUAAUACAUCUACAACAUUCUCGACUCAAUCCAUCACAGAUUUUUUCAAGUCUAUACAUCCGUUAUUGAGUGCAACAACAAAAGCCGGUUUGAUUCUCCAGAAAGUGGCUGGACCGGUCUCGAGAGGUCACUUGGAGCUUAGGAACACAAACCCAAAUGAUAAUCCUUCAGUGAGGUUUAACUACUACCAAGAGCCAGAGGAUCUAAAGAAAUGUGUUGAAGGGAUUACCACUAUUAUUAAAGUGAUUAACUCCAAGGCAUUUGCGAAAUUCAAGUACCCCGACGGGACCAUACAUGGCUUGCUCGAUCUAAUACUAAGCAUUCCCACUAAUCUAAGACCGAGACACGUAACCUCGGUGUUUGAUUUAAGACAGUUUUGCAUAGACACUGUGAUGACUAUUUGGCAUUACCAUGGAGGUUGCCAAGUUGGAAGAGUGGUAGACAAGAAUUACAAAGUCUUAGGUAUUGAUGGUUUAAGGGUUAUAGAUGGAUCAACAUUUCUCAAGUCUCCGGGGACUAACCCUCAAGCUACGGUUAUGAUGCUUGGAAGGUAAAUACAUAAAUUUAAUAAAUAAGUUAUCCAAACAUUUUGCAUCUAAUUAAGAAAUUAUUGUUUUGAUUGUUAUAUGUAGGUAUAUGGGACAAAAGAUUCUUCGAGAGAGGGGAGCUUUCCACAAAAAGGAUGAAGAAGCAUGAGCUAUUACUUUCAAAUAGUUAUUGUGCGUAGAAUAUGCUUUGAUUACAAACUUGCCUAUUACACUUUCAAAAGGAGGUUUGGAAAGUGAAGCAUCAGCUAUAUGUAAAGGAGGAUAAUCCUUUGAGCAUAUUCGGUUGCUCGAAUAGUUUUUUUUUUUUUGGUUAUAUAAAUUGCGUAGAAGUUGUUACCACAAAAUGUUAGGAGAAAAUUGUUAGAUGAAAGAAGUCAGUAAAAGGGAAAUUCAACUUUGGCAAAGGAAGUACAAUUAGUGAGACAUGUUCACAAGUUUGAAGUUGAGUCUUUUGCCAAAGGAGAGUUGCCCUUUACUGUUCUAUCUUUUGAUCGUGUUCAGCGUAAUUUUGCAAAUCAUAUUCCCUUGUCCUAUUCACGUGGUACUUACUUUCUACUGCUUUUACUUCUUAUUUGAAUGCUCGUUUUAUAUAUUUUGUGGAAAGGCAUAACCCGUAAUGUAAAAGUGGAUCCUAUUUAUUUGAUUGCUUACCAGUGUCUUUUUAGGCCUGGGCAUAUUACCGGAAAGAAGCCUGAACCAGAGAUACCGAACCAAAUAACCGUUACAUAUAAUAUUUAUUUUAGUGAUUAUAUAAUGAUUUAAUAUGCAUGUAACCAUUUUAUAAUAAAUCUUGUGAUCAAAAAGUUUGUGGAGAACAUUUUGUUUCACUUUGUGUUUUUAUUAUAUAGAUAUGAAACUGACUUUGGUUGAAAAUUACGAAAAUCUUGGAAAUAAUACCUAUAUAUAUGCAUCCGUGAACAAGGUGUUAAUACUAUUAAACAGCUUUAGAACCAGAUGGUUAGAAGACCGAAAUAUAAACUAUUUCAUCAAUCGUGGCGACUAACCAUUGUCCGUAGAUGCACAUGAGCUAACCACAUUACUCUACAUGAGCAACGUGUUAUUACUUAUAUCUUAGUUAAUAAUAGAUAUCUACUUCUUUGAUUUUGCUUGUGAAGUACAAAUCAUAUCUUAUCUAGUUAUUGGCUACUGCAAGGGGAGGGAUGUACUAUAUUCUUCAACUAUUCGUUGGCGAAUAAGUAUGACUUGUGUUGGUACUACAAAUUUGGAUCUUGCAUUUUAUGAAACUGGUUGAAGUCACUAAUGGUUCCUCUUAAACCGAAGAAGGCACCAACUUUACCCAACAUUAUAACUUCGCAUCAUAUUAAGAAGAUGAUCACUAAUCAUCUCAUUUAAGAGCAUAACUAGUAAUUGACAACAUCAAUAACACAAUAGUCUUUUAUUUGGACAAUGGAGAGUAUAUAUUGGUCUCAUCUUUAAUGAUCGAUUAGUCCCUUUUUUCCCCGGAAGCAUUUCUCUCUCGAAGAAUCUUCUGCCCCAUGUACCUACAUAUACCACUCCAAUAAUCAUAUCUGAUUUAAGUCUACAACAUGUAUAUAUGGAUCAUUUGCGCCUGUUCAUCUUACCUUCCGAGCAUCAUUACCGUGGCUUGAGGAUUAGUCCCAGGAGACUUAAGAAAAGUGGAUCCAUCGAUGACCCUCAACGCAUCAAUGCCUAAAACUUUGUAAUCCUUGUCGACCACUCUUCCAACUUGGCAACCUCCAUGGUAAUGCCAAACAGACAUCACGGUGUCGAUGCAAAAUUGCCUCAAGUUGAACACUGAAGUCACGUGCCUCGGCCUCAGAUUGGUGGGAAGGCCCAGCAUGCGAUUGAGCAACUCGCGUCCGGUUGCAUUCAAAUACUUGUAUUUGGAGAAUGCAUUCGAGUUUAUCACUUCAAUAAUGGUUUCAAGUCCUUUAACACAUUUCUCAAGAUCUUCUGGCUCUUGGUAGUAGUUGAAUGUCACAGAAGGGUUAUCAUCUGGAUUGGUAUUCCUGAGUUCUAAGUAACCUCUAGAGAACGGACCAUCGACUUUUUGGAAGAUGACGCCAUCAAUUUCAAUCAAAUUCAAUUGAAAAUCACUGGAGUUGAUAAAACUUGUGAUUGAUUGAGUGGAGAGUCUUGUCUGCACAAUGCUUCAUAAGUAAAUAUAUAACAUAGUCUCAUGAUUAAUUAACAAAAAAAAACCCAGCAAUGUAUUGAUAUCAUACCUCAAAGAACAUACGUGUCAAGUUAUAAGAGAGACUCAAUCCACUAAAACCUUCAAUGAAAUUGCCAAACCUGGUGAUUCCAACGACCUGAGGGAGGGACAAUUCUACAGGUUGAGGAGAGGGGACAAUCACACUGUUCAUAGGAUUAUCUCCCAUCCCUUGUCCAACCAUGGGGUGAUCUAUAACCACGGGGUCCACCCCUUGGGCUUCAAGAUGAGCCCUAGGACCUACACCGCUUAGCAUCAACAGCUGAGGGCUGCCAAGUGCACCUGCCGACAAAAUCACCUCGUUCAUUGCAUUUUCUGCCAGCUCUACCUUGUGGAACAUUCCAUCCGCGUCUUGAUAUAUCAUUCCGUACGCUUUAGGUCUUUGGUUUCCUGUUCUUAAUAUGAGUUUUCAUAUACAAGGACCAAAGUAUAUAAAAGCUUGAUUUUUUUUUUUUUUUUUGUAAAUAUAUGAAAUACCUUUUGUGGUGAAGAGGAUUUUGUGCACAGUAGCGUGCAAGUAGACAGCAAUUUUGUCCGGAUUAGCAUACUCUAACAAAUCCGCGGCCGAGUGUUUAUGGCCGGCAGAGUCGAAGGUGGAACCGCCAAUCUUCGUCCCUAUUAUAUGUUUAAAGGUGAAACCGUUGUACGGUAACACACCAGCCUCCAAAAGCCCAUCUUUUAACGCAGAUUGCCAUCCGGUUACUUGUGGCUCGAACACAAGUUUCCUCUCGACCCACUCGUAAGCAGCUUCCACUUCCUCCAUCUCCCACUCAGCCUCCUUCACGUAAUACUCUUCCGCACGUGAGUAAAACCCAGCGUUCAGCACCGAGUCACCUCCGAGGACGCGUGCACGUGUGUUGUAAACGCCAUCCUCGGAGAUGAAAGGCUGCGACCACGAGUUUGGUGUGAUGUUUAAGAGCGUGUUGGCGACGUUUUCGAUGUCUGUGGCCCUCGGAUUGUCGUAGGGAGAGCCGCCGCGUUCGAGAACCAAAACGCUUGCGUUUUGAGAGAGUGUUGCAGCUAAUGAACAACCCGAGGUUCCUCCUCCAAUAACUAUGUAGUCGAAGCGAGCAUACGUUGGUGCUGAUGUUGCAUCUUUCAUAAAUCCGUAAAACCCUGUUUUUACGAAAACAAUUUUCAUUACGUUUUAAAUUCGUACUAAUAUUAACCUAACAGCUUCAAAUGUUAUUGUACAUGAAUUCGCGAUGCAGAUGCUACGUAGUUGGUUCAUCAUGAAGCUAAGAUGUUACCUUUAUCUUUAUGGGAAUAACUGGAGCCAUGCAAUAUGAAAAUUAUGACGGGAACAGAAGGAAACAUAUGAAAACCCAUUGCAGUGUAAGAUAAUAUUUGCUUUGUACUAAAUCUUGUGGAGACACAAACAAGAAGACUACAUAAUUCAUACGAUUUAUAUACUAAUUAAGACGAAGUAUAACUGUAGUCUGUUUCUGUAUGACUGUCUUGUUUAAAUAUAAUUACUUCCCCAGUUUAUGGGUGUUUUCGUAUAACCAAACGAUUAUGUAAUGAAUAAAGUAAGCACUAAACUCCGGAAAGUGAAGCCAACAAAAUUACUUUACAUCAAAUUUGAAUGAUAAUAUAGUAAUUUUAGUUUAGAAGGUAAAUACUCUCGUUCCCGAAAUAAAUCACUUCACAUUCUGUGCAAGACAAAACUGAUAUUACGUGAACGGGUUUUUUUCCUUUCGGGACUUGUACUAUGUUAUCUUGUUUCUAGCUAUUAGAUUUUUCCCCUUUUGUUUUCUAUUCAUUUGGAGUUAUGUUUUCGUUUCAGUUUAGCUAAUUAAUUUUGAUAAUAAUUUGGUAUAAAGCUAUAAGUAGCACAUACGAAGUUUGACUAUAAUUAUCUUUAAUUGUGUUCAAAAACAUUAUCUUUAAUUAAAAUUUGGUGGUUUCGGAAUUUUCAGUGAAUCUACGAAAACUUCAAAUAUAUUGAUCAAGUAUUGGUACUGAAAUUCAUUACCAGUUCAAGGAUCAUACGAAUAUUCUUUCCUUUUUAGAUUUAUAUAUUGAAAAUCGUGGUAGCUCUUAGCUUUCAGUACAUAGUUCUCCUCAAUACUUAGAAUUAGUCUCUUGAUACACCUGCUACACGUUUUGCCGUUUGAAAACGUCCGGUAGAAGGAUUAUAUAGUAUAAUUAUGAUGCUGCUUUUGAUUCUCGUACAGGUCAGGUGAAAGAGGGUUGGAUUGUAAGAGAUAGCUAUGUUUCUACAAAAAAUGUGGGGAUCUAGUAGUUUAGGAGAAGCGUCAUCUAGUUUGGAAGCUGAGACUAAAGUGUUUCUCACCGCAAUGCAAAAUGUUUAACAAAAUAUAAUAGAAUACAAAUAUUUUACAGUUGAGAUAUUCAAAAUGAGUUUUUUCAGAUGGUGUAAGAAGUUAAGAACAAAACUUGGGUUUACCCCCUAAGGUGAACCUUCUAAUUCACCUCCAUGCUUAACACCAAUCAAAGUAACAUGUAGGAUUAGUUAAAAAAAGAAUUAAAACUAAAAAAAUAAAUGGAAACUAACUAAAAGAAGCGUCGCCGGUAACCAAGGAAUUGACGUGAUCUUCGAUCUCCGUUGGCUUCUUCUUCUUCACCCCCAUAGAAGUAUAUCUAAUUAACAAAACUGAAAUUGAAAACAUAAGGUCUUAACCGAUCGUCUUCGAUUUGACUUAAAUUUGGUUACUCGUUCAUUAAAAAAAAAAACUGUUAACAAACUGCCAAAGAACCAAAGCCCUUGAAAACACAAGACAACAAGACAUCUUUCACAUUCGACAACAGAUCAAUGGUGGUACAAGUCGAUAACCUUUGUCAGGGAGAGAGUUUUGUUCUAUGCAUACCUAUGGUUUAACAAACUGUGAAAGUUUCAAUCCUAUAAACUGAGUUGACCACACCUCGUAUCUGUUUGCCUGCUUCUCUGAAUAAGAUAUAAAACAUACUUGCAGUGUGACGAGCCUUCUAGCAAUCUGCUGAUUGAGUUUUAAAAAACUCUCAUUACAUUACUCAAAAAGAUGAAGUAAAAACAAUGGUUAAGGCUCAUUAGUCCUUAUUAUUACACAAGUUCACACAUUCUAAUACUCUUACAUAUAAAAAAAACUCAAAUAGACAAAUACCAUUUACCACAUCGCUGCUUUACUAGCCCUUGCUUAUUCAAGAGGUCUCUUCAAGGAGAUUAGUUGAAAUUAACACCAUAUUUAAGCUGUCUAGUAGUAGGAAGAAGCAGUGCUUCUGAAAUAAAGCAAGAGAGGAAGGCUUUGACAUAGGAAACAAGAUCAGCAACUAUGGUUCUUCGUAUGAGGAAAAUCAAAACCCACUAAUGUCUAAAACAUGAUUAAGACUAACUUUUUUGUUUGUUUGAUGUGGAAUUCCAAAGAUGUCUUGUUGUUUUCAAGGAUUUUGGUUCUUUGGCAGCUAGUUAGCAAUACAAUUUGAUGAUGAUGGUGUCACAACAUGAGGGUCUCUUUAACCCAGUUUUUCAUUUUUAGUGAAAGAGUAAACAAAUUUAAGUCAAAUCGAAGACGAUCAGUUAAAAUUUUAUGUUUUCAAUUUCAGUUUUGUCAAUUAGAUAUAUCUCUGUGGGCUAUGAAGAAGAAGCCGAUGGACAUCACGUUCAAUUCCUUGGUCAACUGAGACGUCCUCUUUUUUUUUCUUUUAGUUAUUUUUCAUUUAUUUUUUUAGUUUUAAUUCCUUUUUUAACUAAUCCUACAUGUCAUUUUGAUUAGUGUUAAGCAUUGAGGUGAAUUAGAAGGUUCACCCUAAGGGGUGAACCCAAGUUUUGUUCAGAAGUUAAAUAAUGUUUCCCAACAAUAGGGGGCUUAACAUUUUACUAAAAAAAACAACGGUGACUUAUUGUUUGAGGUCUGAAGAGAGUUCAAAUUCAACUAUUUAAUCUGGGCUCAUCUCGAUUUAUUGUUUCAUGCUUCUUCCUGAUAUUUGAAGAAGGCCGCCCUCUCUUUAAGAAUUUUCUGCCCCAUGUACCUACAUAAAGCACUCCAGCAAUCAUAUGUAUGUGUAAUAUAUGUACAUAACAUGUUAUUAAAUAAACUGUUAUUUUGGUUUUUGCACUUACCUUCCAAGCAUCAUAACCGUAGCUUGAGGAUUAGUCCCCGGAGACUUGAGAAAUGUUGAUCCGUCGAUAACCCUUAAUGCAUCAAUGCCUAAAACUUUGUAAUUCUUGUCAACCACUUUUCCAACUUGACAACCUCCAUGGUAAUGCCAAACAGUCAUCACAUUGUCGAUGCAAAACUGCUUCAAGUUGAACAUUGAGGUCACGUGCCUCGGCCUAAGAUUUGUGGGAAGGCCCAGCAUGAAAUUGAGCAGCACACGUGCGGUCACAUCAGGGUAUUUGUGCUUAGUGAAGGCUUUCGAGUCUAUCACCUUAAUAAUGGUUUUAAGUCCUUCGACACACUUGUUCAAAUCCUCUGGUUCUUGAUAGUAGUUGAACGUCACUGAAGGGUUAUCGUCUGGAUUCCUGUUCCGUAGCUCCAUGUAACCCCUCGAGGCCGGUCCCGCCACUUUUUGAAACAUCCCAUUCACAGCUAUCAUAUCUUUGAAUCCACGAUCCAAAGAUCUUAAAAAGUCUACAAUGGGUUGGGUUAAGAUUUUCGUAGAUGUAGUACGGCUUGUCUGUAGAAUCCAUGUACAGUCUCAUAAGUAACAUAUACUCUCGUAAACAAUAAGUUAUAAUAACCUUUGAACGUAUUUAUGUUACUAUACCUCGUUCAGAACAUGUAAAACACCAUCGAAAAACCUACGGGUCAAAUCAAAAGAGAGGGUCACGUUAUUUCCUCCUUCGAUGUAACUAUCAAACUUUGUGAUACCAACAGCUUGUACGAGGGACAUUUCUUCGGGCGUAGGAGAAGGAAUGAAUAUGGGACUCAUGGGAUUAUCUCCCAUCCCUUGCCCAACCAUUGGGUGAUCUAAGAUCACCGGUUUAACCCCAUGAGCUGCAAGAUGAGCCAUAGGACCCACGCCGCUCAGCAUCAAUAGAUGGGGGCUGCCUAUUGCUCCAGCAGACAAGAUUACUUCAUUCAUUGGAUUAUUUGCUAAUUCUACCUUGUGGAGCACUCCUUUUGUGUCCUCGAAUAUAACUUGGUAUGCUUCUGGUCUCGGUCCGUCUGUUUUUUUUUCAAGAAAAUGAAAGAAAGAAUAAUCCAUUUAAUUAAUUAUUUUUGUACUUGAAUAAAAUUUUGCAACAAAUAAGAUUGGAAAAAGCAACCAUAAAUAAAAAAAAAACAAAAAAAAACAACCAUAAAUAAAAAUAUGUUAAUUUUGUAUCAGUGAUAUGCAAUAUGUCAAUUUAAAUAAUUAAUUGUUUUAUGCAAUUGUUUUAUGCUAAUUUUUUAUCAGCGAUAUGCAAUAUGUCAAUUUAAAUAAUUAAUUAGUUGUAUUGCGCAAUACGCAUGCAAAACACUAAAAGCACUAAAUUACGUAUUAUCAGCUGAAAGCCUCAAACAAUUUAAAAGUUAAGAAAUAAUUUAAUCUAGUUAUUAUCAUAAUAAAAAAAAGGUCAAUGCAUGGGCAGUCGCAUCUAUAUCAUUAAUGUUUAAGUUCAUAAAUAUACUUUCCUCCGUAUUUUUCUCGUCGGAUUGUGCGUUCUUCCUAGUUCCUCCAUAUAUUUUUUUUACAAAAAAAUGACUUUCUAAUUUAUUUAGCGCAUAACAUCUUUAUAAAAUGCUCCUUAAAAGUUAAUGAAUGUAAAUCAAUACCUGUUUUAGUAAAGAGGAUCUUCUGGACAGAAGCAUGCAAGUAUACAACUAUGUUGUCUGGAUUAGCAUACUCCAGCAGAUUCGCCGCCGUGUGUCGAUGACCGGCACCGUCAAAGAUCGUACCGCCGAUCUUAGUCCCGUAGAUGUGAUCAUACGUGAAACCGUUGUACGGAUUCACACCAGCCUCCAAAAGCCCAUCUUUAAACGCUGUUUGCCAUCCCAUAACAUGUGGCUCGAACACAAGUUUCUUCUCCACCCAUUCGUAAGCAGCUUCCACUGCCUCGCGCUCCCACUCAACUUCUUCCACGUAGUCAUCUCCCGCACGUGUGUAGAAUCCGGCGUUUAUCACCGAGCCUCCGCCGAGGACACGGGCUCGUCUGUUGUAAACGCCAUCCUCGGAGAUGAAAAGCUGUGACCACGAGUUUGGUGUGAUGUUAAAGAGUGUGUUAGCAAAGUUUCCCAAGUCACUCGCCGUUGGAUUAUCAUAAGGAGAGCCACCGCGUUCGAGAACUAAAACGCGAGCGUUUUGAGAAAGCGUUGCGGCUAAUGCACAGCCUGAGGUUCCUCCUCCGAUGAGUAUGUAGUCGAAGCUAGCAUAAGUUGGUGCUAGUGUUGCAUCUUUCAUAAAUGUAUAAUGCCCUUUCUCCACAUAUAAAGAAAAAAAUGAUGAAUAUUGAAAAGAAUACUAAGAAUUAUAUUCAACAUAUCAUCACGCAUUAUAAUGAUACCAAUAUGAAACUAGGAAUGUACCUUUAUCGCAAUUACACGAGCCAUGGAAGAUGAAAAUUGUAACGAAAAUAGUAAGGAAUAUAUGAAAGCCCAUUCUAAUGUAAGAUUGUCUUGGCUUUGUUCGGAAAGAGAAAACUUCUUGUUUCAUGCGCUCUAUACAAGUAUGAACCUUGUGUUCAGAUCUGCUUAGUUUUCAAGUCUUCAAGGAUUUUGUUGCGUAGUGUAUUAUUUAUAGGUUUCACUGGUUUCUUGCAAUUGUGAAUGUCAAAUUUGAGGGCGAUCGCAUUUGGAUCGUUUGACACCAAUUAUAAAUUAAAAUAUAUUUAAAAAAUUGCAAUUAGUGAAAGUCACAUCCGAAAACAGUUCUAAAUUUCAAUAUCUUAUAUUACAAAGUACUGUCGACACAAAAAUUAUAUAACAAACUGACUAAUCGUUGUGCCAUGUGUGCAGGUCGAACAACAAUUAAGCUAUUAUUACUGGAAAUUAGUUUAUUUUAAACUUGCAGGGCAAAUAAAACCGAUCAAUCUCUGUCAUAUACAAGUCUAGCUCUUACAUUUUGAAUAAUAUGUAAAAGUCACGAUCAUGUUCGUACCUCAUAAUAUAAUACCCUUAUAAUACGUAGCUACAGUUUGCUUUAUAAUAUUUAUGUAACUUCUUUAAGUUAUUCAGAAUAAAAUAAUGUAGAAGAACCUUCAUCAUCUAUUAUUGAAAUCGUUCUGUUGGUUCUCAGAAUGUAGCUGGUUAUUCUUAAGUGGGAAUUUAUAAACCUAUUACUUUUCCAACGGGUAAAGACAAAAGUAUAAUAAUUUUUUUGUGAAUUUAUAGUAUUUCUCAGUAAAUUAUGAUUUUAGGAAUAUUCACUGUUAUUUUCGAACAACCCAUCUGACUUGUGUAUAUGAGAACCGUCUGUAGCGUAACAACAUGAGAAAUUAAUAUGUCAUACCCUUUGACAUACGUUCUCUCAUUAUUCACGCACAAGUUAAAUUCCUUGCCCAGAAGAACCACCACAACCCUUUCUUUAUUGCCAUGAUUCGUCCAUCUUGCUUUCCAUUUAAUCAUGAAGUUUUCUUCAUGUUCUCACUUGAUUUCUUCUCCUCCAAAGAAUAAUAUAUGCUCAUCAUACACCACCGUGGAGUUUCCUCUUUGUGAUUCCGUUUAUACUUUGUGAUCUCUUUUCUACAGCAACAAAAACCUGAAUUAUUCUGAUACCACUUGUUAAGAUUUGUUGAUCGUUAUAUAUUUUUUAAUACAGAUAAUUUGAUUUUCGGCCUUAAAUCGGUAUGUCUCGAGUGGGAACCGUCUCUCAUAACUUUCACUAUAAGUCAAAGGGUUUAGACAAAUACUUUAGUGCGCUAUAUGGGAAGAGACAACACAUAACUGGAACAACGCCCUCUUACUCUUAAGUUUCUUCUUUUAUUGUUUCUCUCAACUCUCUCUUUGUUCUUACGUUUAUGUUAUGUUUUGGGUUAUUUUUCACCGGAUUAUCCAAAUCGUUGAUAACACUCACUAUAUAUUUAUAUCCACGCUAUUAGUGAAUCCUAGCCUAGUCUCGUACAGUUUUUGGUUAAAUCCUCCCUUCUCCCAAUCUAAUAAUGAGUUGACCUUUUUUAUCCGAACGUAAAACGUUUAUGGAUAAACCGACACUGUUCACCUGUUGGGCCCUUUUUUGUGUUUGCCUGGAAUAAGAUAGGUAUUGGGCCAAUUUGUUCACAUUAACUAAGUAAGAUUUACAUUUUUCUCUCAACAUAUAGAUUUUUCUCGUAAUAUACAUUUUUGUUACUUCUAAAAGGCGGUGAUACACCAAACCCUAGUUCUAUCUUUUCUUAUAUAUGUAUGUGUAAGCUCAAUAAUUUUCUUACAGAAACCCAAAAACAUGGCGCCUCCAAAAGAGAAGAAACAAAAGCUUAGCACAUCUGAAACCAUAAGUCCCUCUCUCUCAAAGAUGAAGAAGAAGAAGAACAAGAGGAAGAAGAGGGUGAGCAAAUCACUAAUAACCUCAAGUCCCUCUCACUCAGAGAAGGAUUUGGUAACCCUAAGUCCCCCUCCAAUCUCAAAGGUUAAUGGGGAGAAAGCAAUGAAGAAGCAAAACGAUGUGGCUAUGUUUCUUACGGAGAAAGUUAUCUCUGCCGUAGCUAAAAACUCAAACUUCGUCUUCUCUCCUGCAUCCAUCAACGCCGCUCUAACCAUGGUCGCUGCUAGCUCCAAAGAGGAAAAACUAACAUCGUCCAUCUUAUCCUUCCUUAGGUCCUAUUCAAUGGAUGAGCUCAAAGCUGUUUUCAGCGAGAUCGCUACCAUGGUCCUCGCCGACGGAAGCGCAAGCGGUGGCCCUAAAAUCUCGAACGUUAAUGGAGUGUGGAUGGAGCAGUCGCUGGGCGUUGAUCCCUCGUCGAAGGAUCUCUUUGAGAAUUUCUUCAAGGCUACUUGCGCUCUUGUUGAUUUCCGAUUCAAGGUUAGUUUUAUAUUAGGUUAAGUGCUCGUGUGAAACUGUCUUGGGUUAAUAAGAGUUAACCUUUGAUCAUAGAUAAAAUGGGUUAUGUGUUUGUGUCAAAACUGUAUUAGGUUUAUUAGUUUGUGAAUCUAUCUAAUAGAUAAUAGACAGGGGCUGUCCUUGGCAUAGCCAAAUUAUUGAUAAAUUGGUAUAUGCAUGACCCCUAUUUUUUUUUAAAUUAAAAAUACAUAAAAGCCUCUAGAUUUAUUUUUAAAAAAUUAUUAAGACCUUACAAAAUUGCCUAUAGUUUUUGAUAUUAUAGUAGAUAUAUGUACAUCUCCUAGCCUUACAAUUUAUGAUAAAUCAGCUUUAUUUGAAACACUUGAAACAUAGGCUGAAGAAGUGCGCGAGGAGGUGAAUGCUUGGGCUUCAAGUCACACCAAUGGUCUCAUCAAAGUUAUUCUUCCUCCUGGAUCCGUUACAAGCGACACCGACUCUAUUUUUGGAAACGCACUCUACUUCAAAGGAACCUGGGAACAAAAAUUCACAAAGUCUUUGACAAGACACUUUGACUUUCACCUUCUCAAUGACAAAUCAGUCUCUGUGCCUUUCAUGACGAACCAUAAGAAGCAAUACGUUGAGCAGUACAGCGAUUUCAAGGUCCUUAAGCUGCCAUUUCGGCAAUCCGGUGACACGAAUCGCCAAUACUCAAUGUAUUUCUAUCUACCGGACGCCAAGGAUGGAUUGAAUAGUCUGGUCAAGAGGGUGGCAUCAUCAUCAUCUACUCUUGGAUUCUUGGAUAGUCACACUCCAAUAAAACAAGUUGAAGUUGGUGUGUUCAGAAUCCCAAAGUUUAAGAUAGAUUUUGGGUUUGAAGCUAAAAAGGCUUUCAAUGGAUUGAAUCUGGAUUUGCUUUCACUGAACCAUAAAGCUUUGGUUGAGAUCGAUGAAGAUGGUGCAGAGGCUGCGGCUGUUACUGUUAUAAGACGCUAUGGUGGUAGAGGCUUCAGGUGUGGUAAGAGGAUAGAUUUUGUGGCUGAUCAUCCAUUUCUUUUUAUGAUUAGAGAAGACAAAACUGGAACUGUUUUGUUCGUUGGUCAGAUCUUUGAUCCUUCUAAAUCUGCUUCUCCUUAGGACCGACAAGAUUAUGAUUUUUUUUUUCCAUUUGGGGCACUUGAUCGCCAGUAACAUUCUUUUGAUCUUUUCCUGUUUGACCCCUUUGAGAAAAAGAAGAAUUCAUAAUUCACUGUUACUCUUUUGACCUCUUUCAUUUACGAUACAUCCUUCAAUCUGUGAUCAGUUUUACUUAUCUCUGGCGGGUUCUAGAUGAGCGCAAAUUAAAAUUCAUAAAUAUACAAUUCUAUUUAUUUAAAGAGUCGUUUUGUAACAGAUUAUCCAAACCCAAACAUCUUAAGACUGUUCUCAGAUUAUCAAAUCAAUAACGAAAAUUUUAUUCUACAAAGACAUUUAAACUGAAACGGAAAGAAUAUAAGAUAGAUAGGUCAAUUCACUUAUCACUGUCUCUCUGCUUAAAUUCAUUUUGAUUAUAAUAUUUCAUUUUGAUUAUAAACAGAAAGAAUAAAAUAUUUUAUUUUGAUUAUUUUAUUUUAUUUUAAUUGAUAAUUAUUUAAUAUAUAAUUAUGAAAAUAAAAUAUAAAAAUAGCAAUAUUGAUCUGAUAAGAUAAAUGGUUAAGGUCUGUUUAACAAAUUAUGAACGAGUAUUAGAUUAUUUUAUAGAGAAAUGUGACGGUUUAAUAAAAUUUAGAAUGCUAAAAAAAUAAUGAUAGUAUUAAAAAGCUGAUUUUGAUUUAGGAAGUAAAACAUACGUGUCGUAAUAUAAAUGGUGACAGUGCACGUCAUUGUACGAUGAUGUCGACACGCCCAUCGUUUACUAUUCCACCCACUCUAGUCCCAAGAAAACAAUUUUGAAUAUUUCCGUUUCUUAUAGUUUAAUCCUUAAUAAUUUCCCAAAGUUUUUGAACAUAAUAAUUUCCCAAGUUUAUUUUAAAGAUGUUUCCUUCUGCUAUCGAUUCUUAAUUUUACCAAAAACAGAUAAAGUCAUGGUCAUUUCUUUAAUCAGAACCUAGGACUAACUUGUUCUUUUUCUUCUUUAAUUAUUAUUUUCUCUGUUGUAUUGUUCUUCAAUUAUUAAUCCAACUAGUAAUAGCAUCACCAAAAGAAGAACAUAAAAAAUCUCUUCUUCCUUUUUCCUUUUCUCUGUCCAAUUAAUCAGAACAAAAAGCAAGGUUAGAAUUUAGGGUUUGUGGCUCUUGUACAACCAGAUAGAGGUAAACAUAGUGACAGGAAUCAUAAGAUCUAGAUCCUGCCUCUUUCUGAAAUGUUGGUUAUAGGGUUUAACUUUUCACCAAUUUUGUUUUCUGUUUAUCAUAAAAUCUAAGAAAAACCAUAAAAUUCUAAGAAAAAAGUAGCUUCGUCAGCUGAUUUUCAUCUGGAAAAAUAAUGUAGUUUAGGGUUUCUGAAGCGAAUCUAGAAAUAAAUCUCCUCAGUUUCCUAACUUUGACUUAAAGCUUUUGAAUCUCAUUGUUUUUGCAGGAAGAUGGUGAGAGGAAAGAUCGAGAUCAAGAAGAUCGAGAACAGGACAAGUAGACAAAUCACAUUCUCGAAGCGAAGGAACGGUCUCUUUAAGAAGGCUCAUGAGCUAUCUGUUUUAUGUGAUGCACAAGUCGCCGCCAUUGUCUUCUCUCAGAGCGGAAGAUUAUACGAAUUCUCUAGCUCCGAGUAAGAUUCUUUUAUCUAAUUAUUUUAAAAUUUUACAUAUGUAUAAAUCUUUCUCUGCAAAUAGACUGAUUAAAUGCCUAGGACUUUUGUAGUGAAUAGUUCUAUCUCCUUCUGGCCGAAUCGUACCUAAGAGAUUUUGCAAUAAUACGUUUAAGAUUUGCUUCUUUUUCUGCUAGCUAUUAUUUGACUUUUCUGAAAAUUGAUUUUAUCACAUUUUUUUUCAUUUUGCAGUACUUCUGGAUUUUAUAUAAUGAACUUAAAACAUAAGGAUUCCAAUUAAUUGAAAACUUUAAAAAGUUUCUAAAGGGUUUUUCUUCAAGGAUGAGCAAGUGAACUAGGUUUUCAGAAAAGAGGUUUCUUGAACAAUUAACCUCCUCGUACACCUUGGAACUUAAACUGAUACCCACUAGACAUCUUAUUUAGAAUAUUGAAAAUAAUUUUCUGACAUUAUAAUUACAUUGUACGAACAGAAAUCAUAUAUAUGCUGCAUGAGAAAAUAUAUGAAAUUUCCCCCAUUGUUCUCUCUAUAAUUUCUUUCGUGAAUAUUCAGUUUCGUGCUAGUUUACAUAGCCAACCAAGUUUGACAAAUAGUUCUUGUUAUAGUUCCCCUUGUUUUAAUUUUCAUUCCGUGCUUAACAACCCUAUUGCAGAAACAAUCACUGGAUUUGGUGUAUUGAAAAACGAUUUCAGUUGCAUAUAAACUUAUACAAAUUAGAUAUCAAAUUAAGUUUCUUUAUUCUCCAUCGUCAAUGAUGUUGUUAUGUAUCUCUGUAUAUUUGUCAACAUUCACACAUAAGCUUGAACGGAACGAUAAAGCGUGAAAGAAUGACAAGUGGUAUUUUUCUCUCUUUAUGCACAUAUAGCGAUGAAUAGUGUACCUUUUUCAUGUUUUUAACAUUUUGUCCCUAUAUUUGGUUAUUCGUAUAUUUAUCAUUUUUGACAACUGAUUCUUCUAUAUACUAUGAAUCUAUCACCUAUUUAGCUAUUCUACUAUUCGCAUGACAUGUAUACCAGGUAAGUAAACCCAUAAUAUUUCAUCUCAUGAAUGUUACAAUGAUCAUCACUGGUAAAGGAAGCAUCCUAGGUACUAUUAAGUAAGCAUCUUUGUGAAUUACACUUUCAGGAUGGAGAAGACGAUAGAAAGGUAUGUCAAGUUUAGUCCUGACUACUUUGUGCCAGGGAGGCCCCAAGUAGAACUAUACUUGCUGGUUUGUUUUCUAUAAAUGUGUAUACCUAUAUAUUCUUGAUUAGUCUCUUCUUUAAUUUAAUAAUAUUGAUGUAUACUAAAAACUCGGCCUUUUUGGUUGUGCAGGAGCUUAAGAAGGAAAUGGAUAUAAUGGUAAAGAAGAUUGAUCUCCUUGAAGUUCAUCAACGGUUCGUAUCUCACUAUUUGUACGGUUACAUUAAGCAUUAUUUAUGAAGAUAAUUUGUUUUAAUCCUGAAAUCUACUGUUAAUGCCGUUAUGUAUGAAGGAAGCUAAUGGGGCAAGGUUUGGGUUCAUGUUCACUGGCACAACUUCAAGGGUUGGAAACUCAGAUUGAGAAAAGCCUUCGAAUUAUCAGAUCAAGAAAGGUACAAUCCAAAAACACACACACGCCCACACCAAUAGGAAUAAUAACUUCAUUGGUUUAUUUUGGUGUGUAGGCUGAGUUAUAUGCAGAUCAACUAUUGAAACUAAAAGAAAAGGUAGUUAUUUUUCACUUAGUAAGUUUUGGGAUCGUUUCUAUAUUUCAUGCUAUUUUUAUUGAUCUUUCUUUAUCUGUUUCUAGGAGAGAGAACUCUUGGACCAGAGAAGAAGGUUACGUGAAGAGGUAAAUACGUACAUACACUCAUCCCAUGAUACACAUAAACGCACUUUACACAUGAAACAUAUAUAUCUCAACGCUUAGCAAGAAGUUUAGCUACAUAGAAAAUUCAUCGCAUUUUGUAGACCUUCUACUUAUGAGAAGAAGGUCUAUUCAUGCACUGACUGUAUGAAUAUUAGUUGAUUUGAGAACUAUUCAUGCACUGACUGUUUGUUUGGGAUUGCUUUAACGUCCAUCGUUAGUCGUAGACCUAAACACUCGUUUCAAACAGACGACUUGUGUUUGGCAUUUGAAUUUACAAUCAUUUAGCAAAAUAGAUUAUGGAAAUUAGAAAAGGUUUAUUUAUAAAGAAAGACAGAUUUUUUUUCUUAAAAAAAAGAAAAAGAAAACAUAGAAUUACCUUGUCGUGUAAACAGAAACAAUAAAAUGUUGCGUUAAAAAGCGAAAUAUGAUUAAUCUAUAUGAUCUUCUUUAUAUCUAGAAGGGAUUGAGCUUCAUUAAGAGCUUUAGUUUCAUUAAGUUUCCACUUUCCUAUAAGUUAAUCCACACUCCGCUUAGUACAAUAGUACUAUCGCAUAAGUUGCUCUAAAGUUAUGUGAGGAUUUUUGUUUUCUAUUGUGAGGAUAUAUUCUAUACAAACACUAAUUUGAGAUCGCUCAUAAUAUAUAGUCAACUCUCUUAGAAUUAGAUUGUAUUACAAAGGCUUAUUAUUUGUUUGGUUUUUAAGUUAAUAAAACAGUAAACACAAUAAACAUAGUAACAUAUAUAUAUAUGUCGUUUCAUCUUUUCAAGUCAUAUUUCAAACUGUUAUGAAAAUAACUUUAAACUUGGUAUUUCAGGAAAUCAGAGAAACCCUGGUACGGCCAAUGCUGCCAGUAACCUUACACACUGGGAAAGAUGAAACCGGAAGUGCCUGCAGAAUGUCCAAACAUUCAUCAGAAGUCGAGACCGAUCUAUUUAUUGGAUUUCCCGCUACUCGACUAUAAUACAUUUCAGACAUUCCUUUAGUCUGCUCAUAGUAAGAAAAAAAAUUGCUGAUAGUCUUAUAACUUUGAUUCGAUGUUUGUACUAAUAAUUAGCUUAUAAUUUUCUGCGUUUUGGCCCAUCUCUUUUUUUUUUUUUUUUUUUUUGAAAGAAUGUUAAAUUAAUUCAAACAAAAAGCUGUUUUACACUUUGUGUUACAUUGGGAUAGAAAUUUUUUUAAACUCAAACCUAUCUAUAACCUAUCUCGUUGCAAACCAUAGAACUAAACCUCCCGUGUGCGCUCGGGCGCGGAUGGAAGACAGCCUAUUACGAACGUUUUUGUCCACCAGCUGAAUGAGCUGACUCGGGGAUAGUGGACUUUCUCCAUGCCGACGUUGAUUACGUUCCCUCCAUAUGGCAUACAAAGUUGCUUGGAACACAUAUCUCACUAUGUAAAACUCUGUUUUGUCUCUGUUUUGAUCAAUCACCAGCUGUAUAAUCUGGUCCCACUGGUUGGUAUAGCGUGUAGCUAGCAGUUUCUGGGUUAAUCCUUUCCAAACCUCCUAUGAAAACUUGCAGACAAAGAAAAGAUGAUCUCUUGACUCUAUCGGGUCAUUGCAGAACACACAAGAGCUGGGAUGUUGAGUGCUCCAUUGCUUAAUUCGAUCACCGGUUGCAAGUCUGUUGAGGAUUGCAAGCCAAGCAAUGAAUGAAUAUUUUGGAGUAUUGAAAGCAAACCAGAUCCCAGGACUCCAAUUCACUUUCGGUCGAGGCACUCGUGUCAGUUUUGGCCCAUCUCUUGUGUGUAAACUGGAAAUAAUUUGACAUGUAUAAGUUGUCACUUAAAUUUUUCCGUUUGGAAUUAUUUUGACAUUUUUUUUCUGGAAAAACUGCUCGCCCCACAAACAGUAAGACCAUGUUCAAUAAUCUCGCCGUUGGUUUUUUAUAGGUGUCUGGUUUGGCGUUAUUUUAUUUUUAUUUUUUUCAGUUUGUCGUUGUUUAGCUCAAACAUUUGAGUAUAUGAACCUUCACGUUCUCAAGGGGCCAAAUUAGACAACUAAAAAAAAGCAAAAGGACAGCUAAAUAGAUCUGUCUUGGAUUUGCGGGAAAGUGGAAAAUCCAGGUGGAUAUAUAUAUAUAUAUAUAUAUAUAUAUAAUUAUAUAUACAUAUUGUUCUAUGAUGAUAUUGUCCCGCUUAGGGGUGGGCGUUCGGGUACCCGUUCGGGUUCGGGUCGGGUAUUUCGGAUUUUCGGGUAUUUCGGUAUAGAGGUCUAGAACCCGUUCGGGUAUUUCUGUACUUCGGGUCGGGUUCGGGUAUUUUUAGUUCGGAUUCGGUUAUUUCAGAUCGGGUUCGGAUAUUUAGAUUUUGAAUAAAAAAAUUAAAAUUUUAAUUUCUCAAGUUUGUUGUAUUUAAAAAUAUAACUUUCAGUUAACUAAUUUUUUUAUUUUUAAUAGAUUGAAUGGUUAAUAAAUUUAGACAUAAUAUUUUAAAACUAAAAAGACAUUAAUUUAGUUUUUUUUUUAAUUUUGGAUGUAACUUUUUGUUAAUUUUUGAAAUAAAAAACUUGACAUGCAUUUUAAGUGAGUAGCAAAUCAUUUUUUCCGUAAUUGUAUGUAUAUCAUAUGAACUUAAAGUAUGUGUAGUAUCAAUAUAAAUAUUUUAUAUAAAAUGAGAGAUAUAAACUAGAAAUAUAAGGUUAAUUAUACAUAUGUUCGGUUAUCUUCGGAUAUCCAUUCGGGUUCGGGUAUUAUCCGUUCGGGUUCGGGUAUCUAAUCUCUCCUUAUUCAAUAUCCGUUCGGGUAUUUUGCUACUUCGGUUCGGAUUUCGGUUCGGGUUUUUCGGAUCGGAUUCGGGUGCAACUUCGGAUAUCGGAUAAAGUGCCCACCCCUAGUCCCGCUAUUCCGCUAAUCGCUGGGAAAGUACUCUAAUCGCUGUUCGUUUUCCCCUUUUACAUUAGGCAAAACCAGAGUUUCAACUCUUUUAAGUUAAAAUGAUAUGCGUUUCUAAAUCGUGAAAGUAAUUAAUAUAAGAUUUUAAUUUAAUAAAAAUAGAUUUGGUUCUAAAAUUUAUGAAAUGUAUAGAAUAAUUUGUUCUUUUCAUAAUAAUUUAAAAUAAGUUAAAAAUUUUAUUUUUUGAUAUAAUUUUAUAUUGUUACCAAAUUUCAACCCAUUUAAUAUAUAUAUAAUAUUUUAAGGUGUUUUAUUUUUAUAAAGUUCAAAAUAUAUUUGUGAAAUUUUGGGAGUGGAUGAAGUUUUUAUAUAAUUUUUAUUAUUUUGUAUUUAUAGUUAAUAUAAAAUUAUAGAUGUAAUAAUAAUUAGUUUAAUUUUAAAAUUUUAAUCUAUUCGAUAAAUUUACGUGAGAUUAUUGUAUUGUUAUUAUUUGGUCUAAUAUUAAAUUAAUACUUAUAGAAUAUAUAUAUAUAUAUAUAUAUAUAUAUAUAUAUAUAUAUAUAUAUAUAUAUAUAUAUAUAUAUAUAUAUCUAUUUUCUUUCUCAUUUUAAAUGAAAAUUAAUAUAAUUUAAUAAUUUAAUAAUAAAUGAAUUUAUUUAAUUGUUUAUAAAAAUUAUAGAGUAAAAAAAUUUUAUAAGUUCUUCUACAAUAAAAAUAUACAUAUUUAUAAUUUAUAAAAAUAAUGAUUUAUAAUUUCAUCAUUGUUAAAUAUUUUGCAUGAUAUCUUAUUGGUUAUGUUGUCCAUUCUGAUUGAUAUAACCUAUUUAUUUUUUAUGUCAAUGACAAAUACCAUAUCCGUUUAUUUGGAACUAAAGUUCUUACGCUUUUUUCUAUUAGCAAAGUUUUUUUGAUAAAAGCGACGUCUCUUUCGUUUUCACCUUCUCUAGUAAAUCUAUACUAUUAAAAGGGAAGCAGUUUUUAAAAAUCUACUUAUAAAGGUUGUUGAACCUUUUCAUUAGAAUAUUUAUAUAACCUUAAUUAAUCAACUCCACAUAUAUAAUAUGUUUAAUAUUUGUGCCAAACUAAAAGAUUAUGCCACCAAAUUUUGUGCUUAUUAACAGAAAAUAAUUAUAAUAACAUUUAUUUUCAAAUACAAAAAAGAUAAUGUUUAGAUAUAGUUUAUAUUGUCAGCUAUGAUGAUCAUUUAUCUGCUCCACAUAAAGGCUGAUUUACAACAUUUAUUAACAUAUUAUAUGAACCAAAUUUAUUUAUAUACAUAAUGUAAAAAAUUUAUGUAAAACAUAAUGUAUAGAAACAUGACAAUACUUUAAAGUUUUUUUAUUAUAUUCAAAAUUUUAUGCGUAUACACAAAAUAUGUUUCUAAAAAUCUAACAUUUUAUUUGAAAUCUGAAAUAUUAACCAAAAACUGAAUCUGAAACACAAUAGAAUAAUCGUGACACCGAAGACAUAUUUGAAACAGAAAAAUAUAUUAAUAUACACAAUACAUUUUAGAUACUCAGGGUACCGGUUCAGAUCUCUGUAGAAUCCAAACCUAAACCGACACUGCGGGUCUGAAAUAUACCCAAUAGAUACUUUGCCGUAGACUUGGAUCUGAACCGAUUCGGAUCGGUUUUUAUUCGAACCAAACAAAAUGUUUGGACCUAAAAAAGAGUUACAUAACAAUAUACAUACAAAAUUUUAAAUAAAUUAAUUCAUAAAUCAUAUAAUUUUAUAAAAUUCUAUGUUUUGAUAUAAUUCAAUAUUGUAACAUAAUAACAUACAAAAAUCAUUAACAUUAUUAAAUUUUUUAUUGUAAGAAAACCCGUGCUUUUGAAGCGCGGAUCAAGAUCUAGUUAUGAAAUUAUUGAUUCAUACGUGAUCACUUGGUACACCAAGAACAAAUCGAAAUUUAUGUACCUUGUAAUAUGAAUUACGCAAAAGAUUAUCCUUAGAUAGAAUAUUUCCCUACAAAAUCAGUGAUCGUAUCCAUAUAUUCUUCUUCUAAACUACAAUCUGUUUUUAUGGCUAUCAAUCUACUUACAAAUUAAGUUCAAAAAAAAAAUCUACUUACAAAUUAUAAUUGUUAUGACUAUCUCUACAUCCUUUAUGCAAUGUUUGUUUAAAUGCAUCUAACAUAUCAAACAGUUAUUUGAUUUUAAAUUGGGUUUUUGUGGUAUAUCUCCUUUUUCAACAAUCGAUAGCAAAAUAAAUUAUAUGUAUUAUUUGCCAUAUAAACAUUAUCUACAUCUAACUUAAUUAUCCCCAUUAUGAAAUUCAUUAGUAUUACCACCAUUCUUUUUUUUUUACAUAUAAAUCUAAGUUUUCUUGCCACUUAAGACGUCUAUGGGUACCAAAGAGAAUCAAACCCAGGAUAAAAGCUAUAGCUAGAACCUUUUUAUCACUAUGCCAAGACCACUUUGUUCAGUCUCUAAUCUCUAUUAAUAUACCAAAUAUUAUGCUCCGGCAUAAACUAAUUGAUAUAUAAAUGCUUCCAAACUUCUUCAAUCUCAAUAUUGCUAUUAUUUCGAUAAGUAGAACAUGUAUAUUUCAACUUAUGGAGUUUUUUAGUUUCUGGUCGUCGUUGAGACAAUAUCAUGAAUUCGUUAAUUCCAUCUGCACAUUUCGGUGUAAAUAAAUUUACCUUCGAAUUUAUAGGAAGUUUAUCCAUCCAUGAAAAAUAAUAAUUAAAAACAUGUUUUCUAGUUUUCUUUUAAAUAAAAGUAGAUAAGGGAUUAUAAUAUCUAUAUAUGAAUUUGAAUAAAUUCUUCAUAUCUUUAAAAAAAACAUAUAUAUGUAGAAGUUUUAAAAUUUUCAAGCAACUACAUAACAUAAAUAUAUUUAUUGAGAAUUUGUCCGUUAUUUUUGUAUUUAAUAAUAGAUAGUUAACAAAUACAGUAAAACCUCUAUAUAUCAAUAAUGUUGUGACUAUGGUAUUUUAUUAAUUUAUAGAGUUAGAUUUUUUCUAUCUUUUUAUAUUUUAUUUAUUAAAUAAGGAAAUAAUUAGUUUUGCCAUAUAUACAUUAAUUAAAUUUUAGAAAUUAGAAUUUCAUAUUUGGUGUAUAUUUUUAUAUUUUGUAGAAUUCAAAUGUGAUUUUAGAUAUAAUGUUACUAAAUAUUAUAAAAUAUAUUGAACUUUUUUAAAAAAAUAAAGAUAAUUUCACUGUGAAUAUAAAAUCAACGAUAUAAUGUUUAGUUUAUACAUAUAUAAAAUAUAUAUAUAUAUAUAUAUAUAUAUAUAUAUAUAUAUAUAUAUGUAUACAUUAUUAAUUUAUGAUUUUAACAAGACCAUAUAUUUAUAGUCAUAUUUUAAAACGAUCAAACUCAAAAGUAGAAAAAAAUUAUUAAUUUACUGUAUUUAUUAAUUUAUCGAAUAUUAAUUUAUAGUAUCUAUCUUAUUAAAACUCAAGUACAAAAUUGGAGUGUUUGGAGACUUGAAUAGGACUUUUAAAAAUUUGGAGUGAUUGGAAACAUGGAUUGCAGUCUUUUAAAAAAAUAUAUUUUUGUUUGAAAACAAUGAUAGUAGUAUUAAGAAAAAAAGUAAUGGGCUUAUGUUUUUUUUAAAAAUUGAAAGUUAUCUAGGCCACUUUUAAAAUAUACCAAAAUGGGUCAAUCUAAUUCCCUAAAAAAAAUUUUUCUAAACUAACCAUAAAACAAAAUUUAAACUUUAUAUACAUAUUUCAAAUCAAAAUAAUAAUUCAAAUUUGAUUUAUAUCAAAAAUUGAUUCAAAAAUAUACAUAUAUUCAAAAAUGGAUUUUUACUAAACUAUUUUUCAAUAACCAUUAUAAAAAAAUAUUGUCAAUAUAUAUAAGAAAAAUAUAAUACAAAGCCCAAUUUGAAAUACCAACUCAAAUUAUGGUUUUCAUAUUUCAUAUUAAGUUUUAAAAAUAUAAUAUAUGUAAUUAUUUAUAUGAUGGUAUGUAUAAAAUACUAUUAAUUAUAUGAUUACUUAUAUGAUGGUACAUAUAAAAUACGAUUAAUUAUAUGAUGAUAAAAUACGAUAUAUAAUAAUGACUAGGGAUGGGCUUUUGGAUACCCAUACGGGUUUAGUUCUGAUCGUCUUGUAUUUUGGGUUUUCGGGGUCAAAGAUUUCAGCCUUAUUAGAAUGUUUCUAAAUUUUGGUUUGAGUUCGAUUUGGAUCUUUGCGGGUUUGGUUUGGGUUUGGAUAACUAAUUUAAAUUAUUUUUAAAGUCUUAAAUCAUUAUAUAUUUUAAAUUUCUCAAAAUGUAUAAAUAAAAUAAUAUAUUAUGUAUAAAUUUGAAUAACAUAUGUCAUAAUACUUAAACUUAACAUAUCAAUUGGGUUGAUUUAAAAUUUUGGAUACGAAAUCAAUAAUUAUUUUAAGUAUUUUUGGUGAUUUGAGUAUACUUUAACUAUUUCAGAUAUUUACUUUUGACUAUCUAUAUAUAUUUUCAAGUAUUUAAACCAAUUUAAAAGUAUCAUUUUUGAUGUUUUAUAUACGUUAAAUCUAAAAAUAAUUAAUAUAUAUAAGUAUAUAAAUCUAUUUUUAGAUAAAUUCGGAUAACUAAAUACUUCGGUUCGGAUCAGAUUCGGUUCUCUAAAUAACAAAAUUUUGAAUAAUUAGAAUAUUUAAUCAAUUUAUGUUUGGGUUUGGUACUAUAUCUUUGGAUCGGUAUCGGUUAUGUUCCUCGGAUUCAUUUUUCCAAAUCCUAAUAAUUACAUGAAAAACAAAUAUCAACAUAUUUUUCAAAAUAUACACCCGCGCGCCUGCGCGGAUCAAAAUCUAGUUCCAUUUUAUAACUGUUUCAUCUUGUCCAACUUACACUUAUUGCAACAUAUGUAGGCUAGUCGAGAAAAGUCGCCCAAUUAAAGAAGGAAGAUUCUUUCUAUUCUUAAAUUAAAAAUUAGACUUAGUCACUAAUUAGGGCUUGUGGCUCCUCCGCUAAGAGGUAAAGACGAAGAUUUCCUGUUUAUUGUUUUAGGAUCUCACUUUCCAUUCAUCCUUUCUUUUGACUGAUUGCUUUCUCUCUACCCUCUUAUGUAAAUUAUUCCUUCUCUAUCCAAAUCUAUCUUUUUAGUGGAGGUUUGAAGCGAAUCUCGAGAAAGCUUUGCGAGUUUUCUUUAACUUCCCAGAUUUUUCCAAAUCAAGAAACCAUUUUCUGAUUUUGACUUUCGGUUUCGUUUCUGUGGUCUGUUUGCUUCAUUUCAUACAAAGCUAGGGUUUCCAUCUCAUAACGGAUCUCAGUCGCGGGAUUCUGAUUUUGUAAGAAUAAGUUAAAAUGGUGAGAGGAAAGAUCCAGAUCAAGAAGAUCGAGAACACGACAAGCAGACAAGUUACCUUCUCUAAGCGAAGGAGUGGUCUCUUUAAGAAGGCUCAUGAGCUUUCUGUUCUUUGUGAUGCCCAAGUAGCAGCUAUCAUCUUCUCUCAGAAAGGAAGAUUGUAUGAUUUCGCCAGCUCUGAGUAAGAUUUUUUAGUUUCAGCUUGAUUAAUUACUCCAAUUAUCUAUAUUUUAAUAUAUUUUUGAAUUUCCUGUUAAAGUAGUACUUGUGUAGUUGAGUAUCUCUCUGAGCAUAUAGUACUAGCGAUUUCUUAAUAUACAUGUAAAAGAUUUUGCCUAUAGCUAGUUGCAGUUGUUAGAUUUUCCCAAAAUAUGCCCUUUUCACAUUUAAUUUUAUUUAAAUUCUCAUAUAUUUUUUUUUGUUAAACUAUUAUUUUCCAUGUACUAUAUAUCAACAUGAGGGUUAUCUUAUGAAUUAAUUAGGGUUUUCACGAAUACGGUUUUUGAAUGUUGAGCCCUUUAUCUGCGUUGGAACUCAAAGUGUCAAACUAGUUUUUAAAUCCAAAAUUAUUUGAUUUAAUAUCAAGAACAUAAAUUGAACCGAAUCAAGAAUAUAUGAGAAACAGCUCCAAGUGUUUUGCCAUUUUUUGUCUAGAUGAUUCUUCCCACUGCCUAAUUCGUUAAGGUCGGACUCGGACUACUAAUCUACUGUUCACUAUUUAUAUAUAGGAUAGGAUCGGUUGAAUGAUUAGCAUAACAUCAAUACAUCAAAACGUGGAUACUUUUGAUUCAUUUCUAGCUAGGUUAUAUCUAGAAAGUUCAUAUUCAUAUAUACAUAUUUAUGAUGUCCAACAAAUGUCUAGUUCUCUCUACCAAUAUGACAUGGUUAGUAUAAUAUCUAUAUAUAUGUACUUAUGAAGAGCCUUCAAUUCAAAGGAAUAUUUUCCAACUAAUUAAAACUCACAACUAAUGAACCGUUAAUGUCUUGAGAAUUCUUUAGUAUCCAGAAGACGAUCAAGCGAUACGCUGAGUAUAAGGGAGAGUACUUCGUUGCAGAAAGUCACCCCACUGAGCAAUACGUGCAGGUUUCUUUUUAUAUAUCAGUUCUCUCUCAUUUUUACUUUUCAUCAAUCACGUACAGCCCUUUUGUAUAAUUUCAAACUUCUACUGAAAAAUACAUUUGAUUUCUUUUGUGACACUUGGUACAACUAUUUUGGAUAUACAGGGACUAAAGAAGGAAAUGGUGACAAUGGUGGAAAAGAUUGAAAUGCUUGAAGUUCAUAACCAGUUUGUAUCUCAGUUGUCAUAUUAUAUAUAAACAUGUUACCUGGUUACUAAAGGAAGUGUGGUGAUUUUGAAAUGUCCCUUAAUUUGAUAGGAAGUUGAUGGGGAAAAGUUUGGCCUUUUGUUCUUUAAAAGAACUUCAGGAAAUAGCCACACAGAUAGAGAAAAGCCUUCAUAUUGUUAGAUCAAGAAAGGUUAGAAACAAAAAAAUGCAUUGAUUAAUGUGUAUAUAUAAUGAGAUGAUUCUUUCGUUGUAUGAGUACUUACUAGUCUUUUGGAUCUUGUGUUGGAUUAUUGGUAGGCUAAAUUAUAUGAAGACGAGGUAGAGAAACUAAAAGCCAAGGUUAGAAUAGUUACAAUUUGAUUUUUGUGGAUCGGUUGUCCUUUGUCGUGGAUAUUUAUUGAAGUCUCUUGUUGAAAAUUAGGGGAGGGAGCUCAAGGACGAGAGAGUCAGGCUUAGUGGAAGGGUAUGUACCAUACCACACUAUUACCUAUAUGUGCAUCACAGAGUCAUCAAUACGUACAAAUUGAUUUACAAAACUCAUUUACACAUUCACAAAAUGAAUAUAACUUAUGUAUUGAGAAAAACGGAAUAUGGCAUUCAUGUAUUCGGUAUAUAUUUUGCCCAAAAUGUUUUAUAUUAGGGUUAAUUACUUAUUUAUAUACACGAGGGUUUGAGUUAAUGACUCUUUUCUUUUAUUUUCACUAAUUAAUUCAAAGCAAUAAAAUAACUUAUAUACACUUUUAUAUAUAUGUCAGGUAGGAGAAGAACCAAGCGGGAUGCCAAUGCCAUCAGGAAGCAAAGAGAAAGAGGAUGUGGAAACUGACCUAUCCAUCGGAUUUCGACCCGAUCUUAACAUUCUUCUUGUUCCUUAAACAUGAUAUCGAGCUACUUAUUAUCUCAGUGAAUAUGUGUAUAUUUAUAGGUCUUGUGUCACAUUUAUACUGAUAACUAAAUGAAACUAUUCUCUUCGAACUACGUACUUUGAUUUUCAUGGGUCCAUAUAUAACAAUGUAAUUAAUGAUACAUUUUUGUGUGUGGAAGUUCUCUUAAUUAAGCUCGUUUUAAAGAGUCGAAGACUAGGAUAUCAAAUUCUCGUAUGGACCAAAAGGGUUCAAAAUAAUCUGAUAUGAACCUCUUCUUUUUCUAUUACAUUUUGCAUUUAAAUUUAAUUCAAAAACUAGAGAAAAUAACUAAAAAACCUACAGACUUAAGCAUAUUUACAAAUUCAUGCCAUUAAUAUCCUAUCCAGACCCAGACCCAAAAUUCGACCCAUAACCCGACCCAGAUUUAAACCCUAAGUUUUUUUUCUUUCUCUUGUCUUCUCCAUUGAUACUUCUUCAAUUUUAAAGCAAAAUCAAAAUUUUCUUCAAUCACUUAUCGAUUUUCUUUCUGUUAUCCCAAAUCGAUCAACCCAUAGUUUUCUUUAAUCCAUUACGUCUUAUUUAAAACCAUAUCUCAUCAUAUACAUACAAGAUUCAUAAAAAAUCAGAACGCAGAGUAUUACUAGUACAACUAGUACAGCUCCAACUUGUGCAACUAGUACAACUAGAAAAAAUAUAACUUGUACAACUAAAUUGAGUAUAAUCAAUAUAACUGGUACGACUAGAACUCGAAUUAAUAGUACUUUGCAACUAAUAUGGUGAUAUUUAGUUUUUGUUUUCAGCGUAUUAAUGAUAUACAAAAGAUGAUGAUGAACCAAUAAUACAUAUUACUCUAAUCUUUCCCGCCUGCAUCUGUCAAAAUACAUGUAUAACUAGAACAACUAGAACAUGUAUAAUUACCACAACUUUACAAUUAAUAUGAUUAUAUUUGAUUUUUGUUUUCAGCGUAUGAAUGAUGUUAUAGAAAAGGAUGAUGUAUAACCAAUGAAAAUGUUGGUGUAAUCUUCAUGUAUGUGUCAAACUGGUGUUAUAGAAAGGGAUGAUAUACCAUUUGUACUAAUUGUACUAUAUACGGGAAAAAAAUCAUCUUCAUGUAGUUUAAGAUCUGGAAGAUUAUACUCCAAAAGACAACUGCCGAGCCAGAAAAAACAUUGUAGUUUAAGAUCUGGAAGAGUAUACUCCAAAAGAUAAUGCAUAAGCCAUCAUGAGUUUAAGAAGAAUGCAUAAGCAUUAAUGUUUGAUAUUUAGACAACAACAAUAAUAGUUUAACUAGUUUAAUACUAUUAUUAGUUUAAUUUUGGCAGCACUUACCAGAAUUGCCCCCUUUGUCACGUGCCUCCAUUCGGUGGGGGCUAGGACCUUACCAGAAUUGCCCCCUUUGUCAGUGAAGAAACGAGGCAAGAGUUCGCGGCAGUGGUGGUAGAUACUAUUACUGGAGCGCAGAACCGGUUGGGUUGGAGAGAGACACCGAAUGGAGAAUUCUCAGUGAGAACUGCGUACAAUUUGAUCACAUGAGAUGAUGCUCCAAGGCCAAAAUGGGAAGCUUCUUUAAAAGAAUGUGGCGUGUGGUGGCGUCUGAGAGAGUAAAAAUGUUCCUCUGGCUUGUUGGAAAUCAGACAAUAAUGACUAACGCAGAGAUAUUUUGACGUCAUUUAAGCGGAACUGAUGUCUGCCAGAUUUGCAAAGGAGGAAUCGAAACCAUCUUGCACGUGCUUAGAGACUGUCCUGUGAUGUCAAGAAUUUGGGAUCGCCUUGUCCCAACUGGGAAGAGACAAGCCUUCUUCUCAAUGUCCUUGUUUGAGUGGUUCUAUACGAACCUAAGUGAUAAGCAAGAGGGAAGUGGAGUUCCCUGGGCCACGGCGUUCUCUUUAAGUUCUUAUCCCAAAUCGAUCGAUCUAUUAUCAUCUUUAAUCGAUUUACUCUUGUCUGAAUCGAAAUUCAUCUUCGUUUUAAAAAAUUCGCAUCAAAAAAGAACACAAUAGUAUAACUAGUACAACUCAAACUAGUACAACUAGUACACCUCAAACCAGUAUAUCUAGUACAACUGGGGUGAGUAUAACCACUAUAACUAGUACAACUAGAACACAUAUAACUAGUAUAACUUUGCAAUUAGUAUAGUGAUAUUUGGUUUUUGUUUUCAGCUUAUUAAUAAUGUUAUAGAAGAUUAUGAUGCAGAACCAAUGAAAAAUUGGUACAAUCCCCACCAAGAUGUGUUAAAAUAUCUUAAUAGUUUGUUUUCUAUAAUAUUUAAUUUAGAUAAUGAAUUUGUUUUACUAGUUUUACUAUUUACGAAAAAAAUCAUCUUCAUUCUUUUUGCUCUCGAAGCCGAAGGUAGUUGCAAAGCCAGAAAAAUUAUAUUAGGUUAAGAUGUGUUUUGUAAUACCCUAUAAUACAGCUAGAAGGAGUAUAACAUGUAUAUUAGUAAAACUGAAACGCGUAUAACCAGUACAACUCUCCAACUAAUAUGGUUAUAUUUUGUUUUUUCCAGCGUAUGAAUAAUGCGAGAAAAGAGAAUUAUGUAUAAAAAAUGAGACAUGUUAUUCUAAUCUUUUCUCACAUGUAUGAGUCAAAAUACAUGAAUAUUUUGUUUUACAUAAUAUUUAUUAAGAUAAUGAUUUUUUUAAUUGGUUGUGCUAGUUGUAGUGUGGGGCCUCAAAAGUUGCGGUAUAAGAAGAUUUAAAAGAGUAUAAUGCAAAGAUGAUGUAGAAGCUCUCACGGGUUUGAAAAUGAUGGAUAGGCUUCAUGUUAACAUGGUGUUUGUACUAUGACAAUAGUAGUCCAACUUGUGUACCUGGUUUAUAUAUGGUAGACUGGUAGUAGUACCAAUGUUUUGAUAUUAAAAAUGACAUACCAAUGUUAGUUGUAUUUUUGUAUUUGAUUUCAAAUAACUUUUUAUUUUUAUGUUUUGCAAAUUAUAUGAUGAUAUUAAGUUGUACCAGUUAAACCAAUAUUCAUAUCUUGUAUAUGGGCUAUAUGUUUAGUUUUAUUAGAUUACGAGUUGUACCAUCUUCUAUAACUCACUACUUUAGCAAUUUCAUGAUUUAACUUAUAUUAGCAUCAUAUUAAACUUUUAACAACAUUCAUUACACUAACAUUAAUUUAAAACGUGAUGCACAGUUAAAGCAAUACUAAAUAAAAUAAUAAUAUAGUUGUACUAGUUUAUUUUUGAGUUGUAAAACAAUAACGGCUGCUCCGGAUUAGAAAUCUCCAAGUUUCACUAUUCUCUGCAUGUAUAUCUCCAAGAGCCAUUCAACCUACUCUGAACCUGAAAAUGACUUGAAAAAGACUAGAGAGACUCGAUAAAAACUUGAAAACAAUUUAGAAAACAUAUAUACAAUCUGUCAGAAAACACAAUAUAUCACAAAACGGCCUCGUAACAUUGACAUUAACUUAAACUAAUGAUUUCUGAAAGUUAGAUUAUGCUUUUUUUUCCAAAUAACAUGGUUAAUCAAGUAAACAAACAGUUAAAGUAUACAGUAAAUUAUGUAAACUUAUGUGAUGGUGUAAUAAUUGUCAAAAAAAAUUUCAUAAUUUUUUUUAGGAAAGUUACAACUACUUCAUUUAAUAUUAAACCAUAAUGUAUAAAACAUGAUACACGUUUUAAACGUGAUGAACAAUACAAAAUGAAAUAACAUAGUUGUACUAGUAUAUUUGAGUUGUACCGAUUUGUACAUAGUUGUACUAGUUUUUUAGUUGUACUGGUUUGUACAUAGUUGUACUUUGGCAGUGAAAUCGAAAAAACUAGUGGUACCACAUUAGAUUUAAACUUACUUCAGUUGUACCACUUCUUUAUGUCUACAUGCAUUUGCCCCAAUAAAAUGAAAUCAUCAGUUUUGUUAAAAUACAUUUCAUGUAUGUUUUCCAAAAAUUAUGUGUACAAAUAAGUUAACAAACCUUAAAAGUAUAAGGUAGAUCAUGCAAAUUAUGUGAUGGUGUAAAAACUGCAAAAAAAAUAAAAAUAUUAAAAUAAUAAGGAAACUAUCUAAAUAUUUACCAAAAUGGUCAUUUGAUUGUUUUUUUUUCAUAUGGAAUACCCAAUGAAAUAUAUAAAUUUCAGAAAAUGAAUAGUUGUACUAGUUAUACCAAUAUUACUUGUAUGAUAAAUAAAACAUAGAUGUACCAGUUAUACUAGUAUAACAGUAUGGUUUGAUAUAUAGUUGGACCAGUUAUACUAGUUGUAUCAGACUGGUUUACAUUUUACACUAAUUACAGAAGUUAUAAUAGUAAUACUGGUUUUAUGGUUGACAUAUGAUUAUACCACUUGUUUAUGUGUCCAGGCUAUGUUUAACAUAUUAUGGAAUCAUAAAUUUUGUAAAAAUAUAAUCAGUGUAUGUUUUUCCAAAAUAAUGUGACUAAACAAAUAAAUAUAUUUUGUAAAAGUAUGGACAAUGUAUGUUUUUCAAAAAUAAAAUGGCUAAGCUAAUAAACAAACCUUAACAGUAUAAAGUAGAUCACGUAAAUUUAUAGGAUGAAGUAAUAAUUAUAAAAAAUAUUAAAUAAAUUGUGAAUUUAGCUGUAUCAAACUAAGACAAAGCAAAAAUUGUAACCUGAACAAGAGGAACAAACCUUGAAGGCAGCCACAUGUAAACUUCUUAUUUAUCUUAAGUAAAGUCUUAAAGAAUGGAACUUUUUUUGCAACACCUUGACAAAAUCAUGUAUGUUUUGUACUUCCAACAUAAUAUUCUUUCCACUAUCUCCGCAAACAUUAAGUUGUAAAUUUCCUGACAUUUUCAUCUUCAUCCCCUGUAACCAAUGCUUCAACACCAUACCUAGCAUUCAAAAACUCCACCACCGCAAGAGUAAGCACCAGCUUAUUGGAAUUCAAAACAUCAAACACAUUCAAACUCCUCUACGUCAACUUCCUUAGCAUUCCUAUAUUCCUGCUCGACUUCGCCACGUUCUCUUCCACAUCAACCAUCAAAAAUAUUGUUUUCCCCUUCGGAUCCAACCCCCAUCUCUUCAUCGCAUCCAAAAACUUUUUCUUCCUCGGCUUCUCGAACAUACCAAUGAACUCCUUCACCACAAUCGCGCCUCCCGACGCCGCUGCGCUCGCUAUCACCGUCGAUAUCGCCAGCCUCUUCUCCAUCGUGUCCAAGGUAGCAACCCUUCUAAUUAUCUCAUAUGAGAGAGAGAAGAUCGGCGAGACGUACCUAGACCUCAGAACCGCAUCAGAGGAAAUCAUGCGCUCCGUUUUCCACCAUGCCAUCGUGACAGACUUGCAAAACAAGCGGCAAGGGACGGCGUCAACGUUGACUUGCGGUGAAGUACGCGGCGGCAGAAUCAAGCCUCGUGGAAGAUAUAUGAAGAUCACAACAGAAUUUAAUCCUCUCAUGGAGGAGAUAUGAGGGCACGGCGACUGACAGAGAGAACAUGCUGCGAUGAUAAAUCCUAGUUCGGUGGAGGCGCAAUGGUUCAAUGAAGUAUUCGAGCUUCAGUCAUGAGAGAGAGGACCACGCUGGAAGAAGCACCAAUGCAGAUGUCAUGUAAUCGAUUUCACAUCGCAAAUCUAAGCAGUUGGGACCAGAGACGCCGUGUGUUGGUGUGGAGGUUUACGAUCUACCGCGAAGAAGAAGACCUAGAAGAAAAGAAAGCAGACGACGUCGUAGAUCUUUUGUUAUAAAUUUUGUUUAAUUUGUUAAUUUCAUUAAGGGUAUACAAGUAAUUUACAUAUUAUAGGUCCAUACAGAUUUUUUUAGGAGGCUGUAGAUUUUUUUUUGGACAAUUGGUCUAUUAUAGAUUUUUGUCCCGAAGACUAAAAAUUUUGUUGAAUGAACUACGACAUGACUCAUGAAUUGUUGAAAUAGAUUGUGGUCACUAGAGUAUUUAACCAACUUACAAAACUCCAAUAUCAGGUAGAUUGUGGGAUUAAGUGUUCAAAUUCAAGUGUGUUAAAAAAAAGUGUUCAAAUUCAAUGUUCUUUGAUCACGGUAAAUAUCAAAAACAUUUAAAGCUUUCAAAUAUCGUCACAUUAAUUAAUUGCUUCAACUGGAUUGUUGAUUUUCGGAAUAGAAUAAUGUGGAAUGACUUAUUCCGUUAAUUCUAAAAAACUAUUUGACAUGAAUACAAUUGACUCAUUUCAUCAAUUUCACAUAUAAAUAGAUAAAAUACAAAGAUAAUCAUUUCAUAACAUAAAUAUAAAAUGAACUAAUUUAUAUCUUUCAAAUAUAUAUAUAUGUGUAAUGAAAUGAGAUGAUUAUGUUGAAUUAUUGGUAGGAUACAUACUAUGACAUUCUGGGUUUUUUCUCUAAAUUGAAAUUCAUUCAUAAGUAAAAUAUCAAUAUUCAUACGACAGCUUGCGAAAAAACGAAAUAGCCCCAGAAACAAGAGCUAAUAGGAAGCGGUAAGUAGAAUGACUUAAGGAUAGAGUAAAAUCUACACCACUACUAGAAUCAUUCAUAUGGUUAACAUCAUUCUGGUUAUAAAAAAACACUUGUAAUUUCUUUUUGAGAAAAAGACUAGGAUAGUACUAAACCAAGUUUUUGUUCCCAAAGUAGCACUCAAGGCUCAAAGUCACAAAAAUAGGUUUCAUUAAAGAGGUAAAUAUACACUUAUACCCCUUGGGUUAAUUAAUCCAAACCUUAGGGUUUAGAGUUAAGGAGUGGAGUUUUGGAAUUAGGGUUUAAAAUUUUAUAAAAAAUAAAAACUAAAAUAAAAAUUUUAAAAACAGUUUCAAAAAGUAUUUUUAAAUUAUAAAAAGAAAAUUUGAAAAAAAAAUAAAAAAAAUUUCGAAAAAAAAAAUUCAAAAAAAAAGUUAUAAAAAUUUCGAAUCUGAAAACAUAUAAUCUGAAACUAUAAAAAAAAAAUCUUUUUUUCAUUUUAUUUAUUUUUAUUUUAUUUAUUUUUAUUUAUUUUUGUUUGUUUAUUUAAUUUUAAACCAAGGGUAUUAGAGAUAUUUUACCCUUUAAUGAAUGUCAUUUUUGUGACUUUUUCCUUCUAGUGCUAUUUGUGAGACAUAAACUUCAAAAUGUGCUAUUAUUGACAAUUGCCCUUUCUUUUUUCAAAAAUUUCAGUUCCUACUUCUGGAGAAAAUAUAAUAUUUGAUUUUUCAAGAGAAAUUAAAUGGAUUCGUAAUAUUAUAAUGUUUCUGUUCUAUUUUACCAAAUCCCCAUAAAUAUAAUUGUGAAUGGUGCUUGGCUUGUUCUUUCUAUUCGAAAACCUGGUUCUUGCUGAGCAAAAAAUUGUUGCGUCUCUUCUAAGCUCAUUACUGUCUUUUAUGAUUGCUUCUUUGUUCUUCAGCGAGUUUGUUAUAUCCAAAACCUAUGACUCUCUCUCUGAUUUAUUUUACUAUCAGCCUCGCCUAAUCUCUCGGGCUCCGGUUCUUCUCUCGAUCUUGUCUAAUCAGUUUCAGCCUUGAACAACCAAACUCUUCACCAAAGCUAAGCAAAAAAAAACAACCAAACUCUUCAUGCUCGUUCUCUUUGUUCAAUGCAGUUUUUUUUGCCUGCAAUAUUCUUUUCCCAAUGUCUUCAAAUUCUUUCCAUAUAAAAUAAUUAAUUAAGAUUUUGAUUGUUUUAAAGAGGAAAAUUGCAAUGGAGAUUUCAUUAAGAACUGAUUAUUGUGAUGGUUUAUUAAAGAUUGAUUAUUGUGAUGGUUUAUUAUUUCUUGUGAGCUUUCAAAAUGAUGAAUGUGUGGUAAGAGCGAAAGGAGCAUGCAAUGGAAAUGACAAAGGUAGUUAGGAGAAGAUCAGACAUUACAAAUUACCAUUAUUGCAUAUGAGAUGAAGACAUAGCGCAUGGCGAGGUGAGGCAAUGAGUGUCUUGCCUCUCGCCAUGCGCCAUGGUGACACAAAGCGCUCGCUUUGUGUAUGAAACUAAAAACGGUAUUGAAAAACAUAAGCAUAGAUAGACAGUGAUAAUUUUCUAUCCUUAACUCUAAGUUAGGUAAAGAUAUUGAUAAAGUGUAAUGAGUUAAGACAUAAGGGAGUUUUGCAGCAAAACUUAUGAUUGAAAAGAGAGGUUAGAAUAUGUGAACUAACCGUAAAAGCAAAGAAAAGCUAAACCCGUGAACAGAGAGAACAGUAGAGAAAGAUCUGAUGAGUAGCUUAUAGGGUUGUUUAACUCUUUUAUAGUAGUUUGAAUUAAGAUUUUAACAUGAAUUAAGGGUUUGUGAUAGAUUCUACUAGACGGCAUGCACACCUACUCUAUUAAACCUAGGUUGGUUUAGUAAUCUAACUCUCCACAAACCAUGUUGGUUUGAGAAGAAUCUUUGAAGCGUCGCUUUGCACGCCUUAAAGGCUACGAGUAUAGCGACAAUAGCGACCGCUUUGGACACCUCGCAUGGCCUUGGGGUCUUGAAGCGAUAAAGACAUCGCUAGACCUCGCCAAGCGCCAUGGCGGUCAUAGCGGUCGCCAUUUAAAACCAAGGACAGGAGUAGAAACUUAAAAGAGAAUGACAAA
rnacentral:lncRNA from 1 species